rnacentral:rRNA from 2 species
CCUACGGGAGGCAGCAGUGGGGAAUUUUGGACAAUGGGCGAAAGCCUGAUCCAGCAAUGCCGCGUGCAGGAUGAAGGCCUUCGGGUUGUAAACUGCUUUUGUACGGAACGAAAAAGCUCCUUCUAAUACAGGGGGCCCAUGACGGUACCGUAAGAAUAAGCACCGGCUAACUACGUGCCAGCAGCCGCGGUAAU